rnacentral:rRNA from 1 species
UACGUAGGGACCAAGCGUUGUUCGGAUUUACUGGGCGUAAAGAGCUCGUAGGUGGUUUGUCGCGUUGUCCGUGAAAACUCACAACUCAAUUGUGGGCGUGCGGGCGAUACGGGCAGACUGGAGUACUGCAGGGGAGACUGGAAUUCCUGGUGUAGCGGUGGAAUGCGCAGAUAUCAGGAGGAACACCGGUGGCGAAGGCGGGUCUCUGGGCAGUAACUGACGCUGAGGAGCGAAAGCGUGGGGAGCGAACAGG